rnacentral:rRNA from 1 species
UACGAAGGGGGCUAGCGUUGUUCGGAUUUACUGGGCGUAAAGCGCACGUAGGCGGAUCUUUAAGUCAGAGGUGAAAUCCCCGGAGCUCAACUUCGGAACUGCCUUUGAUACUGGGGAUCUCGAGUUCGGGAGAGGUGAGUGGAACUGCGAGUGUAGAGGUGAAAUUCGUAGAUAUUCGCAAGAACACCAGUGGCGAAGGCGGCUCACUGGCCCGAGUACUGACGCUGAGGCACGAAAGCGUGGGGAGCAA